GCCAAUAGGGCUGCAAUUAGCAGGUUAUUCUGAUAUAAUAAUUUUUGAAGUUUUAACUUCCAUUGGUA
rnacentral:tRNA from 1 species